rnacentral:rRNA from 1 species
CAACGCCGGAAAUCUCACCGGGGCGACAGCAAUAUGAAGGUCAGGCUGAAGACCUUACCCGAUUAGCUGAGAGGUGGUGCAUGGCCGUCGUCAGUUCGUACUGUGAAGCAUCCUGUUAAGUCAGGCAACGAGCGAGACCCACGUCCACAGUUGCCAGCAUACCCUCCGGGGUGAUGGGUACACUGUGGGGACCGCCGCUGCUAAAGCGGAGGAAGGAGUGGGCAACGGUAGGUCAGUAUGCCCCGAAUCUCCCGGGCUACACGCGGGCUACAAUGGUUGGUACAAUGGGCAUCUACCCCGAAAGGGGAAGGAAAUCUCUUAAAGCCAAUCGUAGUUCGGAUUGAGGGCUGCAACUCGCCCUCAUGAAGCUGGAAUCCGUAGUAAUCGCGUUUCAACAGAACGCGGUGAAUACGUCCCUGCUCCUU